AGGCAAAGCCGCGAGGCAGAGCAAAACCCUAAAAAAUGGUCCCAGUUCGGAUCGCAGGCUGCAACCCGCCUGCGUGAAGUUGGAAUUGCUAGUAAUCGCGGAUCAGCAUGCCGCGGUGAAUACGUUCCCGGGCCUUGUACACACCGCCCGUCACACCAUGGAAGUCGGUAAUGCCCGAAGUCAGUAGCCUAACCGCAAGGAGGGCGCUGCCGAAGGCAGGAUUGAUGACUGGGGUGAAGUCGUAACAAGGUAUC
rnacentral:rRNA from 1 species